AUUGAACGCCGGCGGCAUGCUUUACACAUGCAAGUCGAACGGUAACAGGGUGCUUGCACCGCUGACGAGUGGCGAACGGGUGAGUAAUGCGUCGGAACGUGCCGAGUAGUGGGGGAUAACGCAGCGAAAGUUGUGCUAGUACCGCAUACGUACUGAGGUAGAAAGUGGGGGACCUUCGGGCCUCACGCUAUUCGAGCGGCCGACGUCUGAUUAGCUAGUAGGUGAGGUAAGGCUCACCUAGGCGACGAUCAGUAGCGGGUCUGAGAGGAUGAUCCGCCACACUGGGACUGAGACACGGCCCAGACUCCUACGGGAGGCAGCAGUGGGGAAUUUUGGACAAUGGGCGAAAGCCUGAUCCAGCCAUGCCGCGUGUCUGAAGAAGGCCUUCGGGUUGUAAAGGACUUUUGUCAGGGAGGAAAUCCCUAGUGCUAAUAACACUGGGGGAUGACAGUACCUGAAGAAUAAGCACCGGCUAACUACGUGCCAGCCGCCGCAGUAA
rnacentral:rRNA from 1 species